GGUUACUCGAGUGCUACCUGAAGAAGGUGGCUUUUCCUUGGUCUAAAAAGCCUUGGGAAUAAGAGGGGGGCAAGACUGGUGUCAGCCGCCGCGGUAACACCAGCCCCUCGAGUGGUGGGGAUGAUUAUUUGGCCUAGAGCGUCCGUAGCCUGUUAAGUAAGUUUCCCGUCAAAUCCAAUGUCUCAAGCUUUGGUCUGCGGGAAAUACUGUUUAACUAGAGAGUGGGAGAGGUCAGCGGUAUUCUGGGGGUAGGGGCGAAAUCCUUUGAUCCCCGGAGGACCACCAGUGGCGAAGGCUGCUGACUAGCACACGUCUGACGGUCAGGGACGAAAGCUGGGGUAGCGAACCGGAUUAGAUACCCGGGUAGUCCCAGCUGUAAACGAUGCAUGCUAGGUGUUGGGUUGGCCACGAGCCACCCCGGUGCCGCAGGGAAGCCGUUAAGCAUGCCGCCUGGGAAGUACGAUCGCAAGAUUGAAACUUAAAGGAAUUGGCGGGGGAGCACCACCAGGCGUGAAGCCUGCGGUUUAAUUGGAGUCAACGCCGGGAAUCUUACCGGAAGCGACAGCAGAGUGAAGGCCAGAUUGAAGAUCUUGCCAGACGAGCUGAGAGGAGGUGCAUGGCCGUCGCCAGUUCGUGCCGUGAGGUGUUCUCUUAAGUGAGAUAACGAACGAGACCCGUGCCACAUGUUGCCAUCAGAAUCUAAAGGAUUGCUGGGCACUCUUGUGGGACCGCAGCCGAUAAGGCUGAGGAAGGAGCGGGCAACGGCAGGUCAGUAUGCCCCGAAUCUUCCGGGCCACACGCGGGCUGCAAUGGUAUGGACAGAGGGCUGCAACCCCGAAAGGGGAAGCCAAUCCCUAAACCAUACCUCAGUUGGGAUUGAGGGCUGCAACCCGCCCUCAUGAACAUGGAAUGCCUAGU
rnacentral:rRNA from 1 species